AUUGAUAAUCUAUAUAUAUAGAUAUUAAACUUUAUUUUUAUUAAUAAAAAAAAAUUAUACUUGACUAUCUUCUUAAAAAUAUAAAAAAGGUUGUGAUCUUCUUAAAAAUCGUUAAUUAAAAAAAGAUCGUUAAUUAAAAAUGGUUGAUUAUUAAUUAAUAAAACAAAGAAAAUAAAUUUAAACCAAUAAAAUAGAUAGAAAAUAAAUUUAAACCAAUGAAAUAAGACCUUAAUAAACCAAUUAAAGAUUAAUUACCCAAUAAAAAUAAAUAAUAGCAAAAUAAUAAAGUAUAUAAGAAAGAUUAUAUUACAAAAUUUAAUAUAGAAGGUGGUUGAGCGGGAAGAACGUUUGCCUUUAAAUCGUUAGGUCAUGGGUUCGAAUCUAUACAAAAAAUUUUCUUAAAAUUUAACAUUAGAGAGAUAUAGUCUCCAUAGAUUUAUUUAACAUUAAGAAGAUAGGAAAGUUGAUAAGAAAAAUAAAAAUUAACAUUAAGGAUAUGCGAAAACGUUCAUUUCUUGAUUACAGUGAUUAUAUAUAUAAUAUAGAUAAUACAUUUUAAAUUGAAAUAAUUUAAAGAACCAAAAAAUCUUGCUAUUGUUACAAAUUUUUAAAUAACAAUGGGGGAGAGAGAGAGACGGGGGAGGGAUUGGUCAUUUCUAUUUUGAUCUUUAUUUUUCGGAUCUUUAUCAAUUUUCAUUUAAUUUUUUUAGUAUAACCUAGCAAUAAUUAAUUUUGAUAAAUAAAUUUAUAAGUGAGUGCUCAUGGUAUAUUAAAUUAAUAUGGGUGGAUAUUUUAUGCCCCCAAAAAAUUUCUGCAAUUAUAUAUCAGUAUUCCAAAAAAAACACAAAAUCUUUCGAAAAAUAUUCGAAAUAUUAUUAUCUAAAUGUCAAGAAAAAGAUUUAUUUCCUGAUCCAUAUAUAUACAUAGAUUUCGAAAUGUUUGCUAUGAGCGCGGUUAAAACUGUCAUUGUGGAUCACAUCAUAAUCAGAGGAUGUUAUACCAAAUGUGUCAAAGUACCCAAAGAAAACUACAAAAGCUAGGUCCGGAAAGACAAUACAGAACCAAUGAAGCCCUAAGCUUCUUUUGUGGCAUGAUGGACGGCUUAGCAUUUGUUCCUUUAUGUGAUAUGGGCAAUGCAAAUGCAUUCCUGAGAUCAGUUACUCCGACCAAUGGUAAAGAUAUUAAUAUUUCGAUAAAAAUUACAUCAAUGGAGUAAAGGGAGGUCACAAGAAGCAAUUCUCAAUCCCAGACACGUCGAAUUGGGCCUCGAUUUUCUCAAUAAACUUGGAUCGUGAAUGAGAGCACUCUAUCCGAUGAAGAACCCACAAAUAAUCAAUGCGAAGGUUGGGAUCAUCGUUUUUCAUAUCUGGUUGGGAAUAAACGCCAAUCAAUUUGGGUAUUGAUUAAUAAAAUGAAAUGCGAGGUUGCUGCCGACGAAACCAAACUUGAACGAUGGCGUGUAGGUAGUUGGACACCAAAACAAAAUCGCAGAGUUAUAAUACCCAGAUUCGGUUAAAGAAACUUCGCGAGGAAUACCGUGAUAGAGUGCAAAGCCUUCCAGAUUAGAUUUUAUGAGGGCUAUUUUCACCUUUAUUUGAUGUCAACCGAUAUAAUUAUUAUUCUAAAUUAUUAGAUUUGUAUAUACAUAAUGAUUUUCCAA